UACGUAGGGUGCAAGCGUUGUCCGGAAUUAUUGGGCGUAAAGAGCUUGUAGGCGGUUUGUCGCGUCUGCUGUGAAAUUUCGGGGCUCAACCCCGAACUUGCAGUGGGUACGGGCAGACUAGAGUGUGGUAGGGGAGACUGGAAUUCCUGGUGUAGCGGUGAAAUGCGCAGAUAUCAGGAGGAACACCGGUGGCGAAGGCGCUGCUCUGGGCCGGUACUGACGCUGAGGAGCGAAAGCGUGGGUAGCAAACAGG
rnacentral:rRNA from 1 species